rnacentral:ncRNA from 1 species
UCCAAGAGAGAGUCAGGUUUUUGACCGCCGAAGAGGCAAACCUUAUAUAAAGUGGUGAAUAUAUAUGAGGCGAAACUUUCAGGCAAAAGGACUGGAGA